rnacentral:rRNA from 1 species
CAGUCGAGCGGUAACAGAUCUAGCUUGCUAGAUGCUGACGAGCGGCGGACGGGUGAGUAAUGCAUAGGAAUCUGCCCGAUAGUGGGGGAUAACCUGGGGAAACCCAGGCUAAUACCGCAUACGUCCUACGGGAGAAAGGGGGCUCCGGCUCCCGCUAUUGGAUGAGCCUAUGUCGGAUUAGCUAGUUGGUAAGGUAAUGGCUUACCAAGGCGACGAUCCGUAGCUGGUCUGAGAGGAUGAUCAGCCACAUCGGGACUGAGACACGGCCCGAACUCCUACGGGAGGCAGCAGUGGGGAAUAUUGGACAAUGGGGGCAACCCUGAUCCAGCCAUGCCGCGUGUGUGAAGAAGGCCCUCGGGUUGUAAAGCACUUUCAGCGAGGAAGAACGCCUGUCGGUUAAUACCCGGCAGGAAAGACAUCACUCGCAGAAGAAGCACCGGCUAACUCCGUGCCAGCAGCCGCGGUAAUACGGAGGGUGCAAGCGUUAAUCGGAAUUACUGGGCGUAAAGCGCGCGUAGGUGGCUUGAUAAGCCGGUUGUGAAAGCCCCGGGCUCAACCUGGGAACGGCAUCCGGAACUGUCAGGCUAGAGUGCAGGAGAGGAAGGUAGAAUUCCCGGUGUAGCGGUGAAAUGCGUAGAGAUCGGGAGGAAUACCAGUGGCGAAGGCGGCCUUCUGGACUGACACUGACACUGAGGUGCGAAAGCGUGGGUAGCAAACAGGAUUAGAUACCCUGGUAGUCCACGCCGUAAACGAUGUCGACCAGCCGUUGGGUGCCUAGAG